UCGGAGGGUCCCGGUGUAUGGA
rnacentral:siRNA from 1 species